rnacentral:lncRNA from 1 species
AUACAUAUAUACAAUCAAUCAGCCGAUUGAUUUUAAUUACCACUUCAAUUUACUUGAUUCUUUUAUCAUUAUUUUAUUGUUUCUUGCAGACGUACAAGAUGCCUGGGCGGGAAAAAAGGUCCAUAUCCUCCUUUCAAAAAUAGGGGCCUACAAAAUAUUUUACUGGGACAUUUACCAAGUUGGUUCCAACAUGGAGAUGGAAAGUGAGGUACAAUGUUCUUAUUUUAACAUGAUUUACAUUUGCAUGUAUAGGGUUGACUAUAUUGUAAGACUGCUAUAGAGGUAGCAAUGUUUUUUCCUAGAAAAUAAUAUAUUAUAUUAAAUUUUUCUUAAGGCAAUCAAUGCAUACCUGUCUGUCAUGGUCAAUGAAUACAAUGACCUGAAUACAGGAAAAGCAGCAUUCAUAGAUUCCUAUUCCAUGAUCAAAAUGUGGAACAGAGGCACUCAAAGACUCAAGAUGAAACCCCAGCAGUAUGAAAUUAUUGUGGGGAUCAUAAAUGAGCAUCACUACUGGAAACUAGCGGUAAAAAUGAUUAAUUAUCAUAUAAGUCUGCAACUGCAUUAUAUAACUGAAGAAAGCUUCAGUGCAUAU